rnacentral:tRNA from 1 species
GCGCGCGUAGCUCAGCGGAGAGAGCGGCUGCGUCCGAAGCAGCAGGCCGGGGGUUCGAACCCCUCCGCGCGCACCC